ensembl:lncRNA
UCUCAUCUCCUUGAGCCAGGAAACUGCUUAAUGAUGCAAACUUGCAGAAAGUCACAGAAAACCCAAGAGAAAGGCUGUGCCUUCCUAACAUACUGCGAAAGGGAGUCUGCUCUAAAGGCCCAGAGCGCACUGCAUGAACAGAAGACACUGCCAGGGGUGAGUCCAGACUGAUAACUUUUUGUUUUUCCUUUUAAAUCCGAAAUGGGUUACAUAUGGUGCUCUCAUCUCAGAUUUGGAAGUAUAAAGUCUCCGUUUGUUUGGAUGAUUCACUAUUUGCAUUGUGCUAAUAAAAUCAAGACACCACCAACCCACCCAAAUGGUUUCCAUGCACAAAACUAAAAGCUUUUUACCCUUGUGGGAAGUCAGGAAAACAGUAAUCAGCUGUUUGUGGUCUGGGUUCUACCAGUCUUACCUAGCUGAGGAUGUGCUUUAGGAUUCUGACCACAACAACGAAAUGUUAGAAGUCCUCACCAUGUGCUUCCUCUCACUGUUUUUCUUCUCUGAAGCAAGUUUUGGCAGCAAGAAAUCAAGAAACAGAUCACAUUAUUGAGUUAUCACAGAAUGAAAACAUAUUCCUGAUGACAAAGUGGUUUGACUCAGUUACUUUAGUAUUCAAGCAGCUGUAGCAGAUUGGAAAGGCGGUGAGACAAGGAGAAAAGAGAGAGAGAGGUAAGACGCACAUGAGAUAAUGAGGAAAAUUAUUCACAUGAGCAAGAUCUAAGGUUCAGACAACACAAGCAAAACUAAAAAUAGAAUCAGCAUUAUGUGGGGAAGACCUGCCCUGCUGGAUGGGUUUCUAGUUAAGCCGUUACCCAGAGGAGGGGGAGACACUAUUUAGAUUCAGCCAGAGUAAGGUGGAUUGGGAACAGCGAAGUGCUCCUGUAGCUGGAAUGGGGCUAGUUUUACAAUGACCAGGAGUCAGUGAUCACUUAACUAAGACCGGGCUUCUGAGGGUUCCAGGUUGCAUCGAAACUGAGAGGAAAUCUAUCUAAAAAUGUGUCUUUAUUAGCUGGUGUUGGGUGAUUGAUUCCUGUGUUGCUUAACCUACCUUUCCACAAAUCUAAGACACAUCCCUUGCUCUGUGUUCUGAGGAGAGUGUUGAUUCUGCUCUGCCUGUUUCCAUCAUCCUGGGUCUAUUUACCUAUCUCUAAGCCACCUUGCCAGUAUGGAGAUGCCCACGCACUUGCUCAUCUACAUCUAUCUUUGCUUAAAAGGCC